rnacentral:rRNA from 1 species
UUCGGGGAGACGAGGUGGUGCUAUGGUUGUCGUCAGCUCGUGUCGUGAGAUGUUGGGUUAAGUCCCGCAACGAGCGCAACCCCUAUUGCCAGUUGCUAACAGGAGAGCUGAGCACUCUGGCGAGACUGCCGCCGACAAGGCGGAGGAAGGUGGGGAUGACGUCAAGUCAUCAUGGCCUUUAUGCCCAGGGCUACACACGUGCUACAAUGGCCGGCACAGACGGCAGCUUAGUGGCGACACUUGGCAAAUCCUCUAAAGCCGGUCCCAGUUCGGAUUGCAGUCUGCAACUCGACUGCAUGAAGCCGGAAUCGCUAGUAAUCGCAGAUCAGCCAAGCUGCGGUGAAUACGUUCCCGGGCCUU